AACAAUGCAAACGCUAAUGGGGUUAGCUAUAUGCAUAUAUUGAGUUAGCUGGGAGACGAUAUUGCCCAGGACAUUGUUUAAUUUGUAAUUAAGCAACAAUGUCGUCAGUUGAGCAUUUGAGGAGAUUUGUCAACGAGCGACUAACUGCUGCUGCUGAAGAAAUAUUUGGAGUUUUUAAGAAGACUAUCGUCGCGUAUGAGGAAGAAAUCAACCGUCAGCGCAGACUGUUGGACAUCGUAUGGAACCCUGAAAUAAAGUUACUCAGAAUAGUGGUAUCCUCUUCCUCUUUCUUUUUUUGUGUCCCCUCCAGAGCUCCCACAGCAUCAGGUCGGUAUGAAGGAGGAUGUUCUCGCUGACCAGCAGGACCCAGAGCCUCCACAGAUUAAAGAGGAACUGGAGGAACUCUGCACCAGUCCGGAGGGAGAGCAGCUUGAACUGAAGCAAGAGACUGACACCCUUAUCUUGACACCUACAUCAGAGGGAAAUGACCACAGUGAAGCUCAGUCUCUGUAUUUUCCUCCUGACAAAUGUCUGAAUGCAGCAGACACAGAGCUUCCAGCUAGCGUGUGUAUCACUUGGCAAAAUGAUGAAUCAGACUCUGAAGACUCGGAUGUAUCAGACCCAAAAAAUGUACACCAGCUUCUCUUCCACAACUUCCUUGUAGCUCAAAGCCAACAUCAAAAUGGAAGCGAGCAUGGAGACUCAGGAUCAACAAGUAACGUGCAGCCAGACCCCCAAAAAAGUCACACUCACUACUUAAUCAACACUAACUUGUCAGGGAUUUGCUGUAAUAAAGGUAAAAAGUUUCUCAAAUGUGACACGUGUGAGAAAACUUUUAGGUAUAGGUCAGAUUUGCAGAGACACCUGCUGAUACACACAGGUGAGAAGCCAUAUUCUUGCAACAUGUGUGGAAAAAGAUUCAAUCAGAAAGCAAGACUGAGCGGCCAUAUGAGGAUCCACACAGGUGAGAAGCCAUAUUCUUGCAAAACCUGUGGGAAAUAUUUCCGACAUAACAGUCAGUUGACAGUCCACAUGAGAGGCCACACGGGAGAGAAGCCAUUUACUUGCAACACCUGCGGGAAAGAUUUCAGACGUAGUGAUGAAUUGGCAGCCCACAUAAGAAGAAUCCACUAACCUUAUUUUUUCUUCAUACAGUGUAUUACUCGUAUAUCGAGAUCGUUUAAUGCUGCAUCUCAGCAGCUAGGGUUCAGUUUAAGUAUGAUUUGAUACUGUUUGGUGUUUUCAUCAGUGCAGCUGUCUCAUAUUGAACAAACUUGUAUUCAGUAGAGGAAUGUAACUACAUGUACUCAAGUACUUUGUGCAGCAUUGAUUGUCUACGUAGCCAUGGUUGCAUGUAAAUUCCACACACAUAUGAAAUCUUGAACACUUCCAAUAAAAAAAAAAUUAGUUUUGAAGCAGUUCUGUCGCCAUCUUGUUUUUUUGAAGCCAGAAGUGACCAUAUAUGGCUGUGGAGGAGCAAGGGGUGAAGCUGACUGGGAAGCAGGGGCCACUAUGGCAGACAGCCCUUAAUUAAGCUUAACUUUAAGCCUUAAUAAAAUUGAAAUGGGUGAGUUGUAUAAAAUUUGACCUCUGUACAGUUAUAAUGAAUGGGGAAAUUAGCUAUAGAGACCAAAACCGUUUUUUCCAGGCUGUAAACAUGUUUAUUUCUGCUGAAAAGUGGACGUUUUAACAAGGGGGGUCUCUGGGAAUUGACUGACUUCUGGAGCCAGCCUCAAGGAGCCGUUCAGAGAACUGUACAUUUUGGCAUUUCAGUGUUGGUCUCAUUUUUCAGCCCCGGAGGUUGCUGCAUGAGGAAAAAGUUGCUCAAACUACUUUGUAAAAAAGAAAACCAAUAAUAAGAAUAAAAAAUGACUAUGUACAUCUGAUAUGACAAAGUGUAAAGCAAAUAAAGUCACAUACCAAAAAA